GACGAACGCUGGCGGCGUGCUUAACACAUGCAAGUCGAACGGAGAGGCCCUGCUCUUGUGGGGUGCUCGAGUGGCGAACGGGUGAGUAACACGUGAGUAACCUGCCCUUGACUUUGGGAUAACUUCAGGAAACUGGGGCUAAUACCGGAUAGGAGCUCCUGCUGCAUGGUGGGGGUUGGAAAGUUUCGGCGGUUGGGGAUGGACUCGCGGCUUAUCAGCUUGUUGGUGGGGUAGUGGCUUACAAAGCCUUUGACGGGUAGCCGGCCUGAGAGGGUGAACGGCCACAUUGGGACUGAGAUACGGCCCAGACUCCUACGGGCGGCAGCAGUGGGGAGUAUUGCACAAUGGGCGGAAGCCUGAUGCAGCAACGCCGCGUGCGGGAUGACGGGCUUCGGGUUGUAAACCGCUUUCGCCUGUGACGAAGCGUGAGUGACGGUAAUGGGUAAAGAAGCACCGGCUAACUACGUG
rnacentral:rRNA from 1 species